rnacentral:rRNA from 1 species
UAGAGUUUGAUCCUGGCUCAGAGUGACCGUUGGCGGCAGGCCUAACACAUGCAAGUCGAACGGCAGCACGGCAUUAGCAAUACUGUGGGUGGCGAGUGGCGGACGGGUGAGGAAUACAUCGGGAUCUACCCUGUUGUGGGGGAUAACGUAGGGAAACUUACGCUAAUACCGCAUAAGAACUGAGGUUGAAAGCGGCGGACCGCAAGGCGUCGCGCGAUUGGAUGAACCGAUGUCCGAUUAGCUAGUUGGCGGGGUAAAGGCCCACCAAGGCGACGAUCGGUAGCUGGUCUGAGAGGACGACCAGCCACACUGGAACUGAGACACGGUCCAGACUCCUACGGGAGGCAGCAGUGGGGAAUAUUGGACAAUGGGCGCAAGCCUGAUCCAGCCAUGCCGCGUGGGUGAAGAAGGCCUUCGGGUUGUAAAGCCCUUUUGUCCGGAAAGAAAAGCAUUCGGUUAAUACCCGGGUGUUCUGACGGUA